AAUGAACGCUGGCGGCAGGCCUAACACAUGCAAGUCGAGCGAGCGGCGGGCGGGUGAGUAAUGUCUGGGAAACUGCCUGAUGGAGGGGGAUAACUGCUGGAAACGGUAGCUAAUACCGCAUAACAUCAGAUUUGCCCAGAUGGGAUUAGCUAGUAGGGGGGGUAAAGUCCUACCAAGGCAACGAUCCGUAACUGGUCUGAAAGGAGGAUCAGUCACACUGGAACUGAGACACGGUCCAGACUCCCACGGGAGGCAGCAGUGGGGAAUAUUGGACAAUGGGCGAAAGCCUGAUCGAGCCAUGCGGCUUGUGUGAAGAAGGUUUUCGGAUUUUAAAGCUCUUUAAGUUGGGAGGCGUUACCAACAGAAUAAGCACCGGCUAACUUCGUGCCAGCAGCCGCGGUAAUAC
rnacentral:rRNA from 1 species